rfam:Eucalyptus grandis cultivar BRASTZ1 unplaced genomic scaffold scaffold_1, whole genome shotgun sequence.
ACGACCUUACUUGAACAGGAUCUGUUCUAUAGGCUCGUACCUCUGUGUCCUUGAGACCUAAGGAGACAGGAACCAAAGUCUGGUGGAUGAACUAUGGCCGUGCGACCAGAGCGUGAUUAACAGCUCCGGCGGGUCAUUUCCGACCCCUCGGAGUCGUAGAGGAUCGUUCUCAGUCGGAGUAUACGGCUGGGGUGGUCACACGGCGGUCUGACAGACU